UAUAGAGUGGCAUAGUGGUUUCAGCAUUGGACUACAACUCUGGAAACCAGGGUUCAAAUCCCUGCUUCGUCA